rnacentral:rRNA from 1 species
CCUACGGGAGGCAGCAGUGAGGAAUGUUGGUCAAUGGACGCAAGUCUGAACCAGCCAUGCCGCGUGCAGGAUGACGGCCCUAUGAGUUGUAAACUGCUUUUGUACGAGGGUAAACGCAGAUACGUGUACCUGUCUGAAAGUACCGUACGAAUAAGGAUCGGCUAACUCCGUGCCAGCAGCCGCGGUAAUACGGAGGAUUCAAGCGUUAUCCGGAUUUAUUGGGUUUAAAGGGUGCGUAGGCGGUCGGUUAAGUUAGAGGUGAAAUCCCGAGGCUCAACGUCGGAAUUGCCUUUGAUACUGGUAGGCUAGAGAGUAGUUGAGGUAGGCGGAAUGCAUGGUGUAGCGGUGAAAUGCUUAGAGAUCAUGAAGAACACCGAUUGCGAAGGCAGCUUACUGAAGCGGAACUGACGCUGAUGCUCGAAAGCGCGGGUAUCAAACAGGAUUAGAUACCCGUGUAGUC